rnacentral:rRNA from 1 species
GGUGAAAUGCGUAGAGAUCUGGAGGAAUACCGGUGGCGAAGGCGGCCCCCUGGCCAAAGACUGACGCUCAGGUGCGAAAGCGUGGGGAGCAACCAGGAUUAGAUACCCUGGUAGUCCACGCCGUAAACGAUGUCGACUUGGAGGUUGUGCCCUUGAGGCGUGGCUUCCGGAGCUAACGCGUUAAGUCGACCGCCUGGGGAGUACGGCCGCAAGGUUAAAACUCAAAUGAAUUGACGGGGGCCCGCACAAGCGGUGGAGCAUGUGGUUUAAUUCGAUGCAACGCGAAGAACCUUACCUACUCUUGACAUCCAGAGAACUUUCCAGAGAUGGAUUGGUGCCUUCGGGAACUCUGAGACAGGUGCUGCAUGGCUGUCGUCAGCUCGUGUUGUGAAAUGUUGGGUUAAGUCCCGCAACGAGCGCAACCCUUAUCCUUUGUUGCCAGCGGUUAGGCCGGGAACUCAAAGGAGACUGCCAGUGAUAAACUGGAGGAAGGUGGGGAUGACGUCAAGUCAUCAUGGCCCUUACGAGUAGGGCUACACACGUGCUACAAUGGCGCAUACAAAGAGAAGCGACCUCGCGAGAGCAAGCGGACCUCAUAAAGUGCGUCGUAGUCCGGAUUGGAGUCUGCAACUCGACUCCAUGAAGUCGGAAUCGCUAGUAAUCGUAGAUCAGAAUGCUACGGUGAAUACGUUCCCGGGCCUUGUACACACCGCCCGUCACACCAUGGGAGUGGGUUGCAAAAGAAGUAGGUAGCUUAACCU